UGGAACACAGGAUAACUCAGCUUUUCCCAGUGCCUGCUAGGAAAAGCUCCCUUCCCCUCUGUCCCUAGAGGAUCUUAGUCACCUGAUAUCCGCUUGAUUAGCCCCCAGCGAUUCUUGGUACAACUAGGCUACAGCAACAAGCAGGAGGCAGAAUAAAGGGCAGAGGAAGGAAAAAGAUUGGUGGAUAGAGACUUGGAGGACAGAGCGCUGAACACGUAACUGGGCAAUCCCUUCACACAAAGGUGGAUCAGGAAGCCAUGGCGAGGACCCUCUGUGAUUCUGAUCUUGAGAGCGACGUGUAAACUGUCUCUGUCUUCUACUUUGAGUACCUUGUUGGUAAUCAGAAACCCUGUGUGACCUGUGGCCAGAAUACGAAGAGUUGAUGCACCCUUGUUUAUUACAAUUUGAGGCACCCCUUGGACCAGGAUGUCCCCAUGCUGAGGAGGAUCCUCUACAAUGAAGGUCAACAUUAAGUCAUCUGUAUCCUCAUCUGUGCCCUGGAUGACAUUAGCAGUGAUUUCAGCAGCACCAUUCUCCAGCACAUCCAAGUAGGAACCAACAGUGCCCGGGGGCAACCGUAAGUCAGGAGGUGGCUGGCCUUGACGGAGGAGGAGCUGCCCUGCAGCAGGGCCAGACUCCACUGUGAAGAGCAGGACGGCAUCCUGUGAG